UCCAGGGUCUCCUAGACAAGAGGCGGGACAUUCCGCUCUCCGAUCAGGAGAGCCCCGGGCACUGCCCGGAGGUCCCAAGGGCAGGAAGGACCGCGCGCAGGACGGCACAGCGUCCCAGAGCCGGGCGAGUCCAGGCCCGCGCCCUGCCCCGCCCGCCCGCCAACCCGGGACCCGCCAGGAGCCAGGCAGCGCCCAGCGAAUAGUCCCGGUGCCGCCGAGGGCCGGGAGCCAGUCUCCGCCCCUUCCCUCUCUCCCCGCCCCGCUCUCCCAGCAGGACGCAGCUGCCGGCGUGCGGAGAGCGGCCUGUCGCUACCCCGGCGCGAGGUCUCCGGCUCCCAGCCCUCCCAGGUCGCAUACCUGAGCUAUCUCCAUCCUCGGAGACGGACGAGCUCUCGGUGUCCUCGUCCUCGGAGCUGCUCCCCUCAUUUUCGGCGUAGUCCACCUCCAUCUCAUCGUGAUGAUUCUGCCUCUGAAGGGAAGCAAUUUAAAUUCCAACCACUACCACAUGGUGGAGCUGAGACAUCAGCUGUACAUCUACGGACCUUGUCACGGCUGACUGACCCAGGCCAGAUGCUGGUAGCUGGAAAAAACAAACGCAGGAGACAAGAGGCAGCAACUGAUGGCUAAUACUCAAAUCAGGGUAAGCCCUUUAAUCAUUCAAACUAAAUGUAGGUCUUUAGAGACCUACCGUGACAACUAAAUGAGACCAAUUUAUAAUUAUACAAUUGUAUAAGACCAUGAUUCCAAUUACAUAAGAAUAAAACAAUCUAAAGGUGCUUGAAAUAGUCUGUUCACUGGUAUAGGGCCUAUCCUUGUAUUAAUUGUCUAUUUGUAGAUGUUAGUUCUGGAAUUAAACAAUAAACUUGUUAACAUUCCUA